rnacentral:tRNA from 1 species
GGAAGCGUGUCCGAGCGGCCGAAGGUGCAGCACUCGAAAUGCUGUGUAGGGAAACCUACCGCGGGUUCAAAUCCCGCCGCUUCCGCCA